rnacentral:rRNA from 1 species
AGAGUUUGAUCCUGGCUCAGGACGAACGCCGGCGGUGUGCUUCACACAUGCAAGUCGAACGAGGUAGCAAUACCUAGUGGCGGACGGGUGAGUAACGCGUGGGAAUCUGCCUUUAGAUGGGGGAUAACGAGCCGAAAGGUUCGCUAAUACCGCAUAUGCCGCAAGGUGAAAGGAGUAAUCCGUCUAAAGAUGAGCCCGCGUCCGAUUAGCUAGUUGGUGGGGUAAAGGCCUACCAAGGCGACGAUCGGUAGCUGGUCUGAGAGGAUGAUCAGCCACAAUGGGACUGAGACACGGCCCAUACUCCUACGGGAGGCAGCAGUGGGGAAUUUUACGCAAUGGGGGAAACCCUGACGUAGCGACACCGCGUGAGCGAAGAAGCCCCUUGGGGUGUAAAGCUCUGUCAGCUGGAACGAAACAAAUGACGGUACCAGCAGAGGAAGCAUCGGCUAACUACGUGCCAGCAGCCGCGGUAAGACGUAGGAUGCGAGCGUUGUCCGGAUUUAUUGGGCGUAAAGAGUUCGUAGGUGGUUUGUUAAGUUUGAUGUUAAAGAUCGGGGCUCAACCUCGGGACAGCAUUGAAUACUGGCAGACUUGAGUAUGGUAGAGGCUAGUGGAAUUCCCAGUGUAGCGGUGAAAUGCGUAGA